GGUAGAGUUCCGGUUGGAAUGCCAUGCUUCUAGGAAUUCAGUUCUGACCGCCCUUUGAAACCUCCCUGUAAGGGACCAAUCUCGAUAUGGAUGUCUAGACAGUAAACAGCAGGAGCCUUUUAGAUCAUCUGGCACUUCACAGAGAAGACUGAUCCUGGUUUCACCUCUUACUCACUCUCCAUCAACAAUCAAUGGAGAGCCAUCAAGGAAAGGAAUCUUGGUUGUCUUGCUCCAUCCCCAUCAAGUUGCAGUGUCAUUCGCGGUGCAGGCAAUCCAUGCACAAACAUAGGACAUGGAUGGAAAAGUGCGUUAUGUACGAUGCAAGAAGCAGAACAACGUGAAGUCAAAUGGAAGUGUGUUCCUGUGGAUGUUGAAAAUAUGAGCAGCAAACCAUUGGAUCCCAGUGAAUAUGUUAGCAAUGUUAACUCACUGAAGAACAGCUAAAACAUCCUAAUCUGACAUUUUGAAAGCUUUAGGUUCAGAAACCGCAAAUUCUGAAUUGUCAUGUCUUGUACGUGUAUGUUGAGUAAUGCAAUAUUAGCCUAUAUGACAUGUAAUUCUGUGCUUAUGAGUUGGUACUCUGAAAUAAAUGUUGAA